UUCUCGUUUUGGNGACUACUCUUAUGUGG
rnacentral:piRNA from 1 species